UAAAGAUUUUCAUUUUUCAGAUAAAUUCAGGACCGGCUGCAUCUCCACUCCUGCUGGCACCCCCCAGAUGCUGAACCUCUGUUAUUGAAGUCGCUGAGGAACAGAGCCCAUGGCACAUAUGGAAAAUCCUCUGCUGGAUGAGGUGACUGUGGGAUGGUCUCUGCUAGCUCCCUGCUAGGUCAGAGUGGAGCACUGGAGAAACACCACACUCUUACCCAGGAGGGAAAAGGUCUGUUUCUCUGGCAUCCUGCCUUUUGGUAGGGAGAAAAACUUCCAGUUUGAGUCUGAGGUGAAAAUCGCUUUCCCCUUGCAUCAAAGUCAUGGAAACCCUGAUGUGCCGUUAUACCAUUCAACAUUCCCAUCCCUGCAGUGCCUUAGGCUUUUGCAGUUUGCCCUCCUCAUGCCCUUUCCUGGAUCAUGAUCUUCUUUCAGCUGCCAUUCCAUUUUCACAGUCAUUUCCAUGCCCC
rnacentral:lncRNA from 1 species